rnacentral:rRNA from 1 species
GUCCACGCCUAACGAUGUUACUUGCUGUGCGGUCUUCGGAUUGCGUGGCGAAGCGAAAGCGAUAAGUAACCACCUGGGAGUACGCCGGCAACGGUGAAACUCAAAGGAAUUGACGGGUCCGCACAAGCGGUGGAGCAUGUGGUUUAAUUCGAUGAUACGCGAGGAACCUUACCUGGGCUAGAAUGUGAGAGGAAGUGAUAUGAAAAGUUGAUCGCCCGCAAGGGCUUCUUACAAGGUGCUGCAUGGCUGUCGU